rnacentral:rRNA from 1 species
UACGGGGGGGGCAAGCGUUGUUCGGAAUUACUGGGCGUAAAGGGCUCGUAGGUGGCCAACUAAGUCAGACGUGAAAUCCCUCAGCUUAACUGGGGAACUGCGUCUGAUACUGGAUGGCUUGAGUUUGGGAGAGAGACGCGGAAUUCCAGGUGUAGCGGUGAAAUGCGUAGAUAUGCGGAGGAACACCGAUGGCGAAGGCAAUCCCCUGGGCCUGCACUGACGCUCAUGCACGAAAGCGUGGGGAGCAAACAGG